AACGAACGCUGGCGGCAGGCUUAACACAUGCAAGUCGAACGCCCCGCCAGGGGAGUGGCAGACGGGUGAGUAACGCGUGGGAAUCUACCCAUCCCUACGGAAUAACGCAUGGAAACGUGUGCUAAUACCGUAUACGCCCUACGGGGGAAAGAUUUAUCGGGGAUGGAUGAGCCCGCGUUGGAUUAGCUAGUUGGUGGGGUAAAGGCCUACCAAGGCGACGAUCCAUAGCUGGUCUGAGAGGAUGAUCAGCCACAUUGGGACUGAGACACGGCCCAAACUCCUACGGGAGGCAGCAGUGGGGAAUAUUGGACAAUGGGCGCAAGCCUGAUCCAGCCAUGCCGCGUGAGUGAUGAAGGCCUUAGGGUUGUAAAGCUCUUUCACCGGAGAAGAUAAGGACGGUAUCCGGAGAAGAAGCCCCGGCUAACUUCGU
rnacentral:rRNA from 1 species